rnacentral:rRNA from 1 species
GAUGAACGCUCGCUACAGGCUUAACACAUGCAAGUCGAGGGGAAACGACAUCGAAAGCUUGCUUUUGAUGGGCGUCGACCGGCGCACGGGUGAGUAACGCGUAUCCAACCUGCCCAUCACUUGGGAAUAACCUUGCGAAAGUAAGACUAAUACCCAAUGAUAUCCCACGAAGGCAUCGGAAUGGGAUUAAAGAUUUAUCGGUGAUGGAUGGGGAUGCGUCUGAUUAGCUUGUUGGCGGGGUAACGGCCCACCAAGGCAACGAUCAGUAGGGGUUCUGAGAGGAAGGUCCCCCACAUUGGAACUGAGACACGGUCCAAACGCCUACGGGAGGCAGCAGUGAGGAAUAUUGGUCAAUGGGCGAGAGCCUGAACCAGCCAAGUAGCGUGCAGGAAGACGGCCCUAUGGGUUGUAAACUGCUUUUAUAAGGGAAUAAAGUGGGUCACGUGUGACUUUUUGCAUGUACCUUAUGAAUAAGGACCGGCUAAUUCCGUG